AUGGUUCAGUUCCCUAUCAAAUACUUAGGUCUGCCGAUCACAACGGGUAGAAUAAGAUUAGUCCAUCUUCAAUUCAUUCUAGACAGGAUCAGAGCCAGGCUUGCUGGCUGGAAGGGCAAGCUGCUGCCGCUCGCCGGGCGCCGGGUCCUCGUGCGAUGCGUGCUCUCCGCCAUGCCAACCUUCGCCAUCAUGGUGUUGCGAGUCUCCAAGAAGUUCUUCAAGGAGAUAGACAAGACCAGAAGGCGUUUUCUUUGGGCAAAAGAUGAGGAGAUCAGUGGGGGAAAAUGCAAGGUUGCUUGGAAGAUGGUGACCAGGCCGGAGGACCGCGGCGGGCUGGGCAUCCACGACCUCUCGACGUUUGCCCGUGCCCUUCGCCUCCGGUGGCUUUGUCUCAGCUGGACAGACCCCAACAGGCCAUGGGUUGGCACGGGCACCCCCUGCGACGCCAAGGACAGAUGCCUCUUCGCCGCGGCCACGGUGGUGCCAUCGGGGACGGGGCCACGGCCUCCUUCUGGGCUUGCUCAUGGCUGGGUGGACGGCCACUCAAGCAAGCUUUCCCGGCGAUCUUUGCACACUCGAGGCCAAAGAACAGAUGUGUUCGAGACACCCUGGAAGAUGGCAGAUGGAUCCAAGACCUAA
rnacentral:rRNA from 1 species